rnacentral:rRNA from 1 species
GUUUGUUUGGAGUUAUAAAGAAUUUAACCUGCCCCCUGAUUAAUUAUUAAAGGGCCGCAGUAUUAUAACUGUGCAAAGGUAGCAUAAUCAUUAGGUUUUUAAUUGAAAUCUCGUAUGAAUGGUUGGACAAAAGAAAAACUCUCUUUAUAUUAAGUUUUGAAUUUAACUUUUAAGUGAAAAGGCUUAAAUGUCCUAAAGGGACGAUAAGACCCUAUAAAACUUUACAUUGUCAUUAAUUUUGAUUGAAUUUAUGAAAUAAGAAUUUUAUUUGGUUAUUUGUUAUGUUGGGGAGAUAUAAGUAAAAUAUUUUUUUUAACUGCUUUGAUAAUUAUACAAUUAUAAAUGGUAAGUAGAAGAUCCUUUUUUAAGAUUAAUAGAUUAAGUUACUUUAGGGAUAACAGUGUGAUUUCUUUUGAGAGUUCUUAUCGAAAAAGAAGAUUGCAACCUCGAUGUUGAAUUAAAAUAUCUAUAUAACGGAGAGGUUAUAUAAGAAGGUCUGUUCGACCUUGAAAUUUUUACAUGAUUUGAGUUCAAACCGGUGUAAG